rnacentral:rRNA from 1 species
UACGUAGGGUGCGAGCGUUGUCCGGAAUUAUUGGGCGUAAAGGGCUCGUAGGCGGUUUGUCGCGUCGGGAGUGAAAACUCAGGGCUUAACCCUGAGCCUGCUUCCGAUACGGGCAGACUAGAGGUAUGCAGGGGAGAAUGGAAUUCCUGGUGUAGCGGUGAAAUGCGCAGAUAUCAGGAGGAACACCGGUGGCGAAGGCGGUUCUCUGGGCAUUACCUGACGCUGAGGAGCGAAAGCGUGGGGAGCGAACAGG